rnacentral:rRNA from 1 species
AUUUCAACGGCCGCGGUAUCCUAACCGUGCAAAGGUAGCGUAAUCACUUGUCCUUUAAAUAAGGACCCGUAUGAAUGGCUAAUUGAGGGUGACACUGUCUCAUACGAUUAAUCAAUGAACCUGAUCCCCCAGUACAAAAGCUGGGAUAAAACCACAAGACGAGAAGACCCUGUGGAGCUUAAAGCCAAAAUACUGACUCACCAUAAAACAGUGUUCACCUUAAGUUGGGGCAACUACGGAGAAAAACAGAACCUCCGCGAUAAAGGAGCUUAACACCACCAAGGGGGACACCCCAAAAAGUGAUGCCCCUUAUGACCCAGUAAAACUGAGUGCCGAACCAAGUUACCCCAGGGAUAACAGCGCCAUCCCCCUCAAGAGUCCACAUCAACAGGGGGGCUUACGACCUCGAUGUUGGAUCAGGACACCCAGGUGGUGCAGCCGCUACCAAUGGUCCGUUUGUUCAACGGCUAACGUCCU